UACAGAGGCCACGAGCGUUAGUCGGAAUCACUGGGCUUAAAGGGUGCGUAGGCGGGCUCGCAAGCGUCUUGUGAAAGCCCCCGGCUCAACCGGGGAACCGCAGGGCGAACUGCGAGUCUUGAGGCAGGUAGGGGCCGGGAGAACAGUAGGUGGAGCGGUGAAAUGCGUAGAUAUCUACUGGAAUGCCGAUGGGGAAGCCGUCCGGCUGGGCCUGUCCUGACGCUGAGGCACGAAAGCGUGGGGAGCAAACAGG
rnacentral:rRNA from 1 species